rnacentral:misc_RNA from 1 species
AGGUUAUUUCAGCGAUGGAAUAACAAAUAAAGGUGGUACCGCGAAACUCAAGCUUUCGUCCUU